GGCAAGGUGGUUUAAUGGUUAGCAUGUUUGCCUCGUACCGCUGGGGUUGGGGGCUCAAAUCCUGCCUCUGCCC